GCUAGAAAGGGGCGUGGCCUUUGGGACUAGUCACUGUGAGUCAUUUAACCAUGGGAACCACCAAGGGAGAGAGGAAGCAGCCAGCUCCCCCCAGAAGCCUCCAUGGUGCAGGAUUAACUUGGAGCCCAGUCCCCAGGUGGCUUCCCACACCUUUCUUGGGCUGAACAUGAGGCAAACGACCUUGUCCAAGUUCUACUGGGGAGUGGGACACUCAGCACAUCAGUCUUCAUCCCCACCAUGGACAACCUGGCCUCCUGUCCACAGGGACGUUUUGCACUUAUGAAUGAAUGUGGUUCCGUUGCCAAUGACAACAGCUUCUGCCAAUGCUGCUCUGAACCGCUCAUGUUCCAUUUAUCAUGUCACGGCCAAAUUGUGUGCAGCCACAACCAUGGUUGCUUUAUAAAGAGAAAGUUGUGGAUGUAACGGUGCAGGUCGUUCCUUCUGAGGAGGCACUGACCUUGUUCACACAUGUGUGACCAUUACCUAAAAGAUGGCCAUACUGGCCGCCGUGGCCUUGUUGGGUUCCAACCCACCCAAAUCUGGCCCCCAGAACUUCCAACACAUGCCCCAGCUCUGGCGGGCAAUGCAUAAAGUGACUAUCCAGGUCAUCAGCUUUUGAACUCAAACCCAACAGAUGACUCCAGUAGAGUUUCAGCCACAGGGACAAAGGUGACAAAGGCCACCAUGCCUGGAGGCAUCAGUACCUGCCUCCCGAUGAGCUUCCUACACAAGAAGCAGACUCCUUAGAGAGCACUGUUCAACUUUCAUGUAGGAUUGCCAGCAAAGACGGUGGCCAGAUCCAGAGCCCAAGACUGCUUAAUUAAUUAAUUAAUUAAUUAAUUAAUUACUGUGUGGUCUUGAGCAGACUACUGUUGUCCUUCACCUGUCAGAAGUCCACCAGGUGACUUCUUGAGGACUCCGAGAGAACGUGGGAUUCCCAGCACCCAAGUCUGUGGCCUGGAGAACCUUGUCCCUGGAUACCUCUGGAUCCUUUUUGAUAAGGAGUAAGGAAAGCAUCGGACCUGAAAUGCAUUCACACACCCUGUGUCAAUGUGCUCCCAGCAAGCACUUUAGUGGAGGAGAGAGUGCCCGGUAGGGGAUGGGAGUUUGGGGCUCCUGUCCCUCAGCGUGAGCUCUGGGAUCCAUACCACAUCUCCUGUGUGAGACUUGAAUCAUAUUACUCUUCCCUGAGUAAUAUUCCCCGAGUACACAUUUCCUAAUUGGAGGAAGAGUUGAGACUUUCACUGGAAAUGGGUCAAUAGGUAUAGGCGCUGCCUUGUAAGGGGGUGGAGUGAGGAGUUCCUCUAUACCUGAGGAAUGGUCUUUCCUGGGAUGGGAAGGAAUCUCUGGACUUCAGCACUGAGGAGCCAAUCGACAGGCAGUGGCCUUUCUAGAUGGGUGAAAGGAAAUCCCCUUGGCCAUCCAUAGUCUCCACAAGGCUAGAGAAGACUCCCCCCAUGUUUGGUGGAGUUCCAGUCUCCAGGCUGGAUGUCUCAGCUAGUCUUCAGUAGAAGCUGGAAUCCCAAUGAAAGAGACUGUAAUGCCAGUAAAGAAAUGGACUUGCUAGCAAGGCGAGAGCAAGCAGGCAGAGAACAGAAGCUUCCUUCCUCCAUGUGAAGGCUCUGUGAGUUAGACUGAGGAAAGAGAGACUAGCAAGAGAAAGCAUGAACGAGAGGAUGGGCACCUCACCCUACACUUGGGAGCACUCAGGACACAACACAAACAGCAGAAAGGACAGCCUCUGGACAGUGCAAGCCUGAUUUAGACAACUGCCAAGCAGCAACAGGAGAGAAUGGAGGACUGCAGACUGGCAGCAGUAGCAGCAGCAGCCAGCUUUGGAGACAAACUCAUUGUGCCGCUGAUACAGGAAAGCCUUGAACAAAGUUUUCUCAAGAUUGAAGUCUGCAUAAGCACUGAGGUAUGGCGGAAAGGGUUCAGAACAAUGUGUCAGGGCCCGAGGCUCACUGCAGAUCUCCGUUGAGGUGGGGGGACAUGAGUCACAAGAUGUCUGCCCCUCAGCUUCUGUCCUAAAAGAAUGAUGAGUUAGCCCAGCUGAAACCUCCAGAGCUUACAACACCUACAGUAAGCUUUGCACGGUUAGUAGCAUCUUGAAGUCUUAUUCCUAUGCCACGAGAGGAAAGGGCCCAGCAGACGGGUUUGAUCUCUUAAGGAGCUAUGAUUUCUUUUUUUUUUUUUUAAGAUUUUAUUUAUUUAUUAUGUAUACAACAUUCUGCUUCCAUGUAUAUCUACACACCAGAAGAGGGCACCAGAU